UACGAAGGGGGCUAGCGUUGCUCGGAAUCACUGGGCGUAAAGCGCACGUAGGCGGAUUGCUAAGUCAGGGGUGAAAUCCUGGAGCUCAACUCCAGAACUGCCUUUGAUACUGGCGAUCUUGAGUCCGGGAGAGGUGAGUGGAACUGCGAGUGUAGAGGUGAAAUUCGUAGAUAUUCGCAAGAACACCAGUGGCGAAGGCGGCUCACUGGCCCAGUACUGACGCUGAGGUGCGAAAGCGUGGGGAGCAAACAGG
rnacentral:rRNA from 1 species